rnacentral:rRNA from 1 species
UGGAGGAAAAGAAACUAACUAGGAUUCCCUCAGUAGCGGCGAGCGAAGCGGGAAAAGCCCAAAAUGAAAAGCCUGCGUGCAGGCGUUGUAAUUGGAUGUUCUUGGGGUGUCAGUGCGGGCAAGUUGUAUGGAAAUACACGCCGUGGAGGGUGAGAGCCCCGUCCAACCCGCACAGGACACGCCGUACGAGAAUAUUCCGGACGAGUCGGGUAGCUUGGGAAUGCUGCUCUAAUUGGUGGUAAAUCUCAUCAAAGGCUAAAUACAGGCUGGAGACCGAUAGCGAACAAGUACCGUGAGGGAAAGAUGACAAGCACUUUGAAAAGAGGGUGAAAAGAGCCUGAAACCGUCACGGGGGAAGCGGAUUGCGUUGGAUUGAGAGGGUUGUAUGUGUUCAGCCGAAAGGUGCAUUGACAUACAAUUUUAUCUGUCGUGGGUUUUGAGAAAUUGAAGAUGAAUUUUUCGAGGCUGAGGGCUCCCUUUUAUAGGUGAGGACGAUGGAGCGACGACGCGAUACGACCCGUCUUGAAACACGGACCAAGGAGUCUAGCGCGGGUGCGAGUCAAAGGGUGCAAGCCUGUGGGCGAAGUGAAAGCGAGUUUUUAAAACGAGCAGUUUGGGGCGGCAUAAGAUCGUUGAUCUUAAGUCUGACCUUGAGCAGUUGCGCUGGGACCCGAAAGAUGGUGAACUAUGCCGGAGUAGGGCAAAGCCAGAGGAAACUCUGGUGGAGGCUCGUAGCGGUGCUGACGUGCAAAUCGCUCGUCCGACUUGGGUAUAGGGGCGAAAGACUAAUCGAACUAUCUAGUAGCUGGUUCCCUCCGAAGUUUCUCUCAGGAUAGCGGGCCGACAGUGUGUUGUUUUGUGCGGUAAAGCGAAUGAUUAGCGCAAUCGGGGGCAUUUUGUCUUUGGGCGAUUCUCAAACUUUCAAUGCGCAAGGGUGCCGCUGCUUUGUUGAGCGGCACCGGCAAAAACGUCGGCCCUGUGGGCCACUUUUGGUAAGCAGAACUGGCGAUACGGGAUGAACCGUAAGUGUGGUUAAGGCGCCAAACUACCCGCUUAGAGAUCCCACAAAAGGUGUUGAUUCAUCGAGACAGCAGGACGGUGGCCAUGGAAGUCGGAAUCCGCCAAGGAGUGUGUAAAAACUCACCUGCCGAAUGAAUUAGCCCUGAAAAUGGAUGGCGCUGAAGCGGGUGGCCGACACCACACCGUCUGAACGAUGGUUGAAUUCAGAUGAGUAGGAGGGCGUGGUGAUUGUAUCGAAGCGUGCGUGCAGACGUUCGUGGAACGGUCACUAGUGCAGAUCUUGGUGGUAGUAGCAAGUAUUCAAGCGAGAUCCUUGAAGGGCGAAGCGGGGAAGGGUUCCACGCGAACAUUGAUUGGGCGUGGGUGAGUCGUUCCUAAGCCGAGUGGCGAUUGCUAAGUAGUGGCGAAAGGGAAGCAGGUUGACAUUCCUGCACACGGAUGUGGAGGCGGUGACGCAUAUUGGGACGAACACGCUGGCGAUGGCGCUGGGCAGAGUUGUCUUUUCUGUUUGACCUCUACCUAUGCUGUGUGGAAUCCGAUUGUCGGGAGAAACACGCAUAACAGGGCAGAGCGCCGGGGCUUUUCCGGCGUCCAGCUCGCCAUCGACGGCCCUUGAAACUUUGUCUGCUGAUAUAAAAUCCACGCCGUGGCGUACCGAUCACCGCAUCAGGUCCCCAAGGUGAACAGCCUCUGCUCAAUAUGAAAAAUGCAGGUAAGGGAAGUCGGCAAAUUAGACCCGUAACUUUGGGAUAAGGGUUGGCUCUAGUGCUGCGUGGGAGUGGUUGCCUUUGGUUGAGAUGAUUGGUGAAGAUAAUUUGGUGUGGGACUGUGAAAUGAAGUCGAGUGAUUGGUGGAAUGGAAUGGACCUGUACCGGUUGUUGAUCUGAUGGUUUCACUAUUGGCGACGCCCACAGCAUGCAGCAGACUAGAACUGCAACGGGCAAAGGGAAUCCGACUGUUUAAUUAAAACAAAGCAUUGCGAGGGCCGUGGCCGGUGAUGACGCAAU